GUCCCCUUCGUCUAGUGGCCUAGGACAUCGCCCUCUCACGGCGAAAACAGGGGUUCGACUCCCCUAGGGGACGCCA
rnacentral:tRNA from 2 species